AUUGAACGCUGGCGGCAUGCCUUACACAUGCAAGUUGAACGGCAGCGCGGGGCAACCUGGCGGCGAGUGGCGAACGGGUGAGUAAUAUAUCGGAACAUACCCUAGAGUGGGGAUAACGUAGCGAAAGUUACGCUAAUACCGCAUACGCACUAAGGUGGAAAGUGGGGGAUUCGCAAGAACCUCAUGCUCAUGGAGUGGCCGAUAUCUGAUUAGCUAGUUGGUGAGGUAAAGGCUCACCAAGGCAACGAUCAGUAGCUGGUUUGAGAGAACGACCAAGCCACACUGGAACUGAGACACGGUCCAGACUCCUACGGGAGGCAGCAGUGGGGAAUUUUGGGACUAAUGGGGGGCAAACCCUGAUCCAGCAAUGCGCGUGAGUGAAGAA
rnacentral:rRNA from 1 species